CAGUCGCCGCGGUAAUACGAAGGGUGCAAGCGUUAAUCGGAAUUACUGGGCGUAAAGCGUGCGCAGGCGGUUGUGCAAGACAGAUGUGAAAUCCCCGAGCUUAACUUGGGAACUGCAUUUGUGACUGCACGGCUAGAGUGUGUCAGAGGGGGGUAGAAUUCCACGUGUAGCAGUGAAAUGCGUAGAUAUGUGGAGGAAUACCGAUGGCGAAGGCAGCCCCCUGGGAUAACACUGACGCUCAUGCACGAAAGCGUGGGGAGCAAACAGGAUUAGAUACCCCAGUAGUCCCUGUCUCUUAUAA
rnacentral:rRNA from 1 species